rnacentral:rRNA from 1 species
GAUGAACGCUGGCGGCGUGCCUAAUACAUGCAAGUCGAGCGAACAGACGAGUAGCUUGCUCCUCUGACGUUAGCGGCGGACGGGUGAGUAACACGUGGAUAACCUACCUAUAAGACUGGGAUAACUUCGGGAAACCGGAGCUAAUACCGUAUAAUAUAUUUAACCGCAUGGUUCAAUAGUGAAAGACGGUUUUGCUGUCACUUAUAGAUUGAUCCGCGCCGCAUUAGCUAGUUGGCAAGGUAACGGCUUACCAAGGCAACGAUGCGUAGCCGACCUGAGAGGGGGAUCGGCCACACUGGAACUGAGACACGGUCCAGAAUCCUAAGGGAGGCAGCAGUAGGGAAUCUUCCGCAAAGGGCGAAAGCCUGACGGAGCAACGCAGCGUGAGUGAUGAAGGUCUUCGGAUCGUAAAACUCUGUUAUUAGGGAAGAACAAAUGUGUAAGUAACUAUGCACGUCUUGACGGUACCUAAUCAGAAAGCCACGGCUAACUACGUG